CACGUAGGGCGCAAGCGUUUGUCCGGAAUUAUUGGGCGUAAAGAGCUCGUAGGCGGUCUGUUGCGUCCGCUGUGAAAGCCCGGGGCUUAACCCCGGGUCGGCAGUGGAUACGGGCAGGCUAGAGGUAGGUAGGGGAGAAUGGAAUUCCCGGUGUAGCGGUGAAAUGCGCAGAUAUCGGGAGGAACACCGGUGGCGAAGGCGGUUCUCUGGGCCUUACCUGACGCUGAGGAGCGAAAGCGUGGGGAGCGAACAGG
rnacentral:rRNA from 1 species